GAAGCAGGGGCGCUUGCUUUGAGGGAACAAGGAAUGAGCCCCUCCCUCAUCCAAAGAGGAGCUGCUGCCUGGGGCUCUCCCCUCCAGAAGAAGGAGGCAGGAAAGAGUUAACAGAGAGACACUCCAACUUCUGGUCUAGGUUCCUCCCACCAGGAGACCAUUACUGAAGCAGCUGGAGACCCAACAGGAACUUACAGAUUCAAGCUUCAAGAGGCCUGCCUGUCUGUCACUGUUCCCCAGCACCCGGCACAUGACAGCAGGGGAACAACAGUGAAUGAAUGAAUGGACAAGUGAGGGGAGGCAGGACACACAUGUUAAUUCCCUGGCUUACAGACAAGGUUCUCCUGCCCGACGUUGUUUGAGCCUCCAAACAGAGCCCAUGCAUCAGGCAUCAUAAGCUUCCUCAUGGAUGUAGGAAUUGAGGCUCUGUGAGUUACCCACUCAGGUCUGUGCACAUUGGACCCCACACUCUUUCCAUCAGUUUGACGAGACAGACAACUGGAGGCCCAGUUCCCUGCUGCUACACACACACAGUUCCUUUUACCAUCACAUCUGCUUGUUCACCCCUUAGCUGUCUGCUCUGUCCUUCCGUCCGACAAUCACCUGCACCUCUGCUUCUUUCCUGGAGACUGAGGGCAAAAAUCUCAACGGUGUUCACUUCCUAAGAAAGCGGGAGAAGUGGAGCCAGGAGGCGGAUGUGACCUGCCCGGCACAGUGAGGCAGGCCAGCUGCUCACACACCCAGCCAGAGUGCUCACUGAAGUAGCAACCUGACAGGCAGCACUUUGAGACAGAACAGGACUGCGAAGGGCGUGGAGCCCACACAUGGAACCAUGAGCUAAACCAUGGCGACACCUGACGCAGAAUGGUCACAGACUUCACAGGCUCACACAACAAGGCUAGGGGCAGUGCUUCUUCCGUUUCCUUUAAUUCUGUUGUCAAAAUGACUUGAUGACAAAAUGAUUUAAAAACAAAAGCGACACAAGGAAGCCAGCUGCCUCUGGCUCACUGUCUAGACUGUACUCACACUCUAAACAGACUCUCCUGACCUUCACUCUGGCUCAGUGGGAAAGAAGGAAGUCAUGGGUGGCCCUCAGGCCUGACACAGCCCAGUCAAUGUUUAAUGACCU